rnacentral:rRNA from 1 species
UUAGAUACCCUAUUAUAAGAAUGUAAAUUUAUAAAUUGAUUAUUAAUAGUUAUGUUCUUUAAAGUCAAAAAUUUUGGCGGUAUUUUAGUCUUUUCAGAGGAAUCUGCUCUAUAAUUGAUAUUCCACGAUAAAAUAUACUUAAAUUAGAAAUUUACAUAUCGUCGUUAAAAAUAUUUUAAAAGAAAUAAUAUUUAAAAUUUAAUUUUUAAAAUGAGUCAGAUCAAGGUGUAGUUUAUAUUUAAGGAGAAGUGGAUUACAAUAAUUAAAAUUUUGGAUUUUAAAUUUUAAAUUUAAAUGAAAUUGGAUUUGAAAGUAAUUAAAAAUAU